rnacentral:rRNA from 1 species
GACGAACGCUGGCGGCGUGCUUAACACAUGCAAGUCGAACGGAAAGGCCCUGCUUUUGUGGGGUGCUCGAGUGGCGAACGGGUGAGUAACACGAGAGUAACCUGCCCUUGCCUUUGGGAUAACUUCAGGAAACUGGGGCUAAUACAGGAUAGGAGCUCCUGCUGCAUGGGGGGGGUUGGAAAGGUUCGGCGGUUGGGGAUGGGCUUGCGGCUUUUCAGCUUGUUGGUGGGGUAGUGGCUUAGCCAGGCUUUGACGGGUGGCCGGCCUGAGUGGGUGAACGGCCACAUUGGGACUGAGAUACGGCCCAGACUCCUACGGUAGUGAGCAGUGGGGAAUAUUGCACAGUGGGCGGACGCCUGAUGCGGCAACGCCGCGUGCGUUAUGACGGCCUUCGGGUUGUAAACCGCUUUCGCCUGUUACGAAGCUUGAUUGACGGUAAUUGGUAAAGAAGCACCGGCUAACUACGUG